GGGGAUUUAGCUCAGUGGUAGAGCACUUGCCUAGCAAGCACAAGGCCCUGGGUUCGGUUCCCAGCUCCG
rfam:Rattus norvegicus chromosome 8, whole genome shotgun sequence.